rnacentral:rRNA from 1 species
UACGUAGGGGGCAAGCGUUAUCCGGAUUUACUGGGUGUAAAGGGAGCGUAGGUGGAUUGUUAAGUCAGUUGUGAAAGUUUGCGGCUCAACCGUAAAAUUGCAGUUGAAACUGGCAGUCUUGAGUACAGUAGAGGUGGGCGGAAUGCGUGGUGUAGCGGUGAAAUGCAUAGAUAUCACGCAGAACGCCGAUUGCGAAGGCAGCAUACCGGCGCCCAACUGACGCUGAGGCACGAAAGCGUGGGGAUCGAACAGG